GUCAAGGGGUGCUCACUAUUGUGGGCUGAGAUGAUACCCUCCAACCUGAUACGGAUAAUGCCGGCGUAGGGAUGAUA
rnacentral:ncRNA from 1 species